rnacentral:rRNA from 1 species
UAGGGAAUCUUCGGCAAUGGGGGCAACCCUGACCGAGCAACGCCGCGUGAGUGAAGAAGGUUUUCGGAUCGUAAAGCUCUGUUGUAAGAGAAGAACGUGUGUGAGAGUGGAAAGUUCACACAGUGACGGUAACUUACCAGAAAGGGACGGCUAACUACGUGCCAGCAGCCGCGGUAAUACGUAGGUCCCGAGCGUUGUCCGGAUUUAUUGGGCGUAAAGCGAGCGCAGGCGGUUUAAUAAGUCUGAAGUUAAAGGCAGUGGCUUAACCAUUGUUCGCUUUGGAAACAGUUAAACUUGAGUGCAGAAGGGGAGAGUGGAAGUCCAUGUGUAGCGGUGAAAUGCGUAGUUAUAUGGAGGAACACCGGUGGCGAAAGCGGCUCUCUGGUCUGUAACUGACGCUGAGGCUUGAAAGCGUGGGGAGCAAACAGG